ensembl:lncRNA
AUGAAGAGCCUGAGUUGCGAGAGAACCCUGGGCCCUCAAGGGAGAGAGCAUAUACAGAGUCAGAUGAGGGGGAGAAAAGGGAAGAGGAUGCCUCCGAGGGCUGGCAUCAUUCAUUCCACUCUUGUGUCUAGGGCUGACUGGCUCCUCUACGGAGAAGGCAUCAACAAAGCUGGAACAGAACAGAGAAUUCACCUUAGGAUGUGGAGCCUAGAAGUGGGGGUGACCCGCUGGACACAACAUCAGGUGCAGCACUCCUGGAUAGUGAAGCCAUGUGGAGCCACUGCCCAGGAUCAGGAAAGGCCCAGCACAUGCUGCUGACCUCUUCAUUGUAUGCACGCCAGGACUCAGCAGGAUGGCCUGAGACAACCGUAAGGUAGGACACAAAACUCAGGCUUUGUUGGUGACCUGCUGGUUCUUCACUUCCUCUGCUUCCCUUGAGGACUGUCCUUGUCUUGCUUCUGCCUGGUCACUUCCAGGUUGCAUGUGUGUAAAAGGGAGACCCUCAUGCUUGCUCCCCCUUGGUGACAGGAGUAAAACAGAAAACGCAGAUGGAGUUCUAGGAAUUCUCAGGUAGGGGACGUGGGCAGAUUCACAGCUUUGGCCACUGUCAGGGCUGAGAAACAUGGCAAGAUCAUGGGGAGGAACCAUGCCUAGGGUGAGUUUGUAGGUGGGCCCUUAAAGAUUUGGAUGUAGAGCUCAGUAGGUGUGAAUAAAUACACUGAAGGCACUGGGAGGAGAUGAUUUUCUGGGUUCUUCCUCUCUGGCCUCCAAUUCAGCAUGAAGCAAGGAUAAAGGAGAUUCCAGCCUAAUAAUUGGGAGGAUUUCUUAAAGCACAUUCCGCAGAAGACUGCAUUUUUCUUGUCAAGCUACUCCAAAAUCAACAGCAAGGGAGCCUGUAAUGAAUUCAGCUGAAUUUGGUUUCUCACUCCAGUGAACCAAGUAACAGCAAAGAGGAUCCAGAGAAACAGGGUCCCGGGGUUCUGGACAUUCCUCUUCUCUUUGGCCAUGUGCCCCCGAUUGUUAAGGAGAGAAGAGUAAAAGAUGGUAACUCUUAAAAUGGAGACCGAAGGGGACUGUGCCUUUGAGGGCCCAUAGCCUAGGUGAGAAGAAGGAUCAGGAACCAAACUUGCAAAACAAUGUAAGAUGCAUUUAGGAGGUGCAGUUUUUGGAGCAAGAGCAGUUAUAAUGAAGCAGUUACAGGUAAGGGAGAAGCCAGAUUUCAGUGAGUUAAAAAGGAGGGGAAUGAGUGGAAACAGCAAGGAAGGUGUGUGUAUGAGAGGCAGUGUCGAGAAAGCUGUGUGGACUAUGGGGCGCUCCUGUCUGCGGGGCGGACUGCUUCAAUCAUACCGUGGGCUUUAAGGCACCUUCAGUGUGACAAUCUGUUCAGCCACGGGGAUAUCAAGAUAAAUAAGACAAAGUCCACAUGCCCAAAGAGCAUUCCAUCUGUGGUUCCAGAGAGACAUAUGAGCAGACAUAUCAAAAUGCAAAGUCAUACAUUCUGGACAGAGGCGGAUGGAGCACAGGAUUAGGAGGGAAAAAACACAAACCUGUUCUCAAGGAGCUUAUGGCCAUUUUUUUUCUCAUCUUUUUAGGGCCCAUGCCCAUGGCAUAUGGAGGUUCUUAGGCUAGGGUUCGAAUCGGAGUUACAGCUGCUGGCCUACACCACAGCCACAGCAACAGCAACGCCAGAUCCAAGCUGUGUCUGCAACCUACACCACAGCUCAUGGCAAUGCCAGAUUCUGAGUGAAGCCAGGGAUUGAACCUGUGUCCUCAUGGAUGCUAGUCAGAUUCCACUGAGCCAGUACGGGAACUCCCUUACAGCCAUUUAGUGUGUCCACAGUUAUAAUGUGUCUGCAGUUAUAGUUAGUAUAAACCCUAACCUUAACCCCCAACACAGGGGACAACGCUUUAGGAGAGGAGCAUUGUACUUUGGGUACCUAGAAAAAAAAAUCAAAUACCUUUUAAGUGAAGCUUGAGGAAGGUCUGCCUGAGAAGGUGGCAUUUGAUUCAAACCUUGAACAAUGGGAAUGAAGGCUAGUGGGAUAGCAGAGAGGGUCACUUCAGGCAGAGGAUGUGAUGUUUUAGGAGAAGGUUUAGGAGAAACUUUUGGUCACACUGUCUUUACUUACAGGAGUAGGAAUCAAGGAUGAAUCUAGAACACAGAGACAGGCUUCUUGGAAAAUUUCCUAGAAUUGAGCCUUUUAUGUCUUCUUGGGUCACCAAGAUUCAGGCUCCUUAAAUGCUCUUAGACCAAAGGCUGGCUCCACACCCAGGAGACUUCAUUAACAUUUCAUCCUCCCAUGGCUCUGUGAUGAAGGCAGUAGAACAAGCCUGCCCUUUGUUGUGAGGGGCGCUUGUGUGUGUGUCUUUUCCACGAAUCUCCCCUAGUGCAUCCUUGGGCAAAAUGUCCUGUUGGCCUCAAGGACAGUAAACAUGUCAGCCUACACUGAUGAGAGGUAAUUAAGCAACCCUAUGAUAUACUCAUGUUGCAGGGUCCUGCUUGGAGUUCCAUCACAAAGACCCUAUCGUCUCUCUUUUAGAAAGACCUCACGUCUCGAUUUAAGGGUUUUUUGAAACUAUUGGAUUAUAUUGAAAAUUUCGUAGAAAGACAGGGCCUCGGUAAAAAAAAAAAAAGAGGAAUGUGAACUUUAAAUAUAGGUGGAUGAGGGAGUUCCCGUUGUGGCUCAGUGGAAACGAAUCCAACUAGUAUCCAUGAGGAUGCAGGUUCAAUCCCUGGCUUCGCUCAGUGGGUUGGUGAGCCAUCAGCUUCAGUGUAGGUGGAAGAUGUGGCUCAGAUCCCCUUUUGCUGUGGCUGU